rnacentral:rRNA from 1 species
GGACGAACGCUGGCGGCGUGCUUAACACAUGCAAGUCGAACGGAAAGGCCCUGCUUUUGUGGGGUGCUCGAGUGGCGAACGGGUGAGUAACACGUGAGUAACCUGCCCUUGACUUUGGGAUAACUUCAGGAAACUGGGGCUAAUACCGGAUAGGAGCUCCUGCUGCAUGGUGGGGGUUGGAAAGUUUCGGCGGUUGGGGAUGGACUCGCGGCUUAUCAGCUUGUUGGUGGGGUAGUGGCUUACCAAGGCUUUGACGGGUAGCCGGCCUGAGAGGGUGACCGGCAACAUUGGGACUGAGAUACGGCCCAGACUCCUACGGGAGGCAGCAGUGGGGAAGAUUGCACAAUGGGCGGAAGCCUGAUGCAGCAACGCCGCGUGCGGGAUGACGGCCUUCGGGUUGUAAACCGCUUUCGCCUGUGACGAAGCGUGAGUGACGGUAAUGGGUAAAGAAGCACCGGCUAACUACGUG